AUACGUAGGUGACAAGCGUUAUCCGGAUUUACUGGGCGUAAAGGGCGUGUAGGCGGUCUUGCAAGUCAGAAGUGAAAUUCCUGAGCUCAACUCGGGCGCUGCUUCUGAAACUGCAGGACUUGAGUGCUGGAGGGGAUAGCGGAAUUCCUAGUGGAGCGGUAAAAUGCGCAGAUAUUAGGAAGAACACCGGUGGCGAAGGCGGCUAUCUGGACAGUAACUGACGCUGAGGCGCGAAAGCGUGGGGAGCAAACAGGAUUAGAUACCCUGGUAGUCCCCGCCGUAAACGAUGAAUACUAGGUGUAGGGGGUAUCGACUCCCUCUGUGCCGCAGUUAACACAAUAAGUAUUCCGCCUGGGGAGUACGGCCGCAAGGUUGAAACUAAAAUGAAUUGACGGGG
rnacentral:rRNA from 1 species